GUAUCUUGUUAGGGUGGAUAUGUUGGGUCGUAGACCAUCUGGAGCGCAGGCUGGCAUCAUCUCAACGAUGGCAAAGUUGUUGCCGAGCUGCCUUGAAGUAAUCUCUAGAAUUUUGCUGCUGGAUCACCAAGUUUGGUCUGUCUGUCUCAAGAUUAGCUCUUGGAACAUCCAGAAUGGGAGCUCACCAAAUAAAGCCUUAGGAAGCAGGCAGCCUAAUAUUUUAAUACAUUUUACGCUCAAGACAAAAUACCCAGGAAAUGCUGUUCCUACCACUCUAUUCUUGGCAUGCCAUUCAUUACAGAGGUGAGAAUCCAAUGAGAAGACUGUUGUCUGCAAACCAGGAAGAAGCCUCUCACCAGACCCUGGGUCUGCUGCUACCUCAUUCUUGAACUUCCCAGCCUCCAGAAUUGUAAGAAAUAAAUGUGUGUUGUUUAUACUACCUAGUCUAUAG
rnacentral:lncRNA from 13 species